GUUCCUGUAACGCAAUGGAUUGCUUUUUGGACUUCUAAUCCAAAGGGCGUGGGUUCGAAUCCCACCUGGGUUG